GACGAACGCUGUCGGCGUGCCUAACACAUGCAAGUCGAACGGAAAGGCCCUGCUUUUGUGGGGUGCUCGAGUGGCGAACGGGUGAGUAACACGUGAGUAACCUGCCCUUGACUUUGGGAUAACUUCAGGAAACUGGGGCUAAUACCGGAUAGGAGCUCCUGCUGCAUGGUGGGGGUUGGAAAGUUUCGGCGGUUGGGGAUGGACUCGCGGCUUAUCAGCUUGUUGGUGGGGUAGUGGCUUACCAAGGCUUUGACGGGUAGCCGGCCUGAGAGGGUGACCGGCCACAUUGGGACUGAGAUACGGCCCAGACUCCUACGGGAGGCAGCAGUGGGGAAUAUUGCACAAUGGGCGGAAGCCUGAUGCAGCGACGCCGCGUGCGGGAUGACGGCCUUCGGGUUGUAAACCGCUUUCGCCUGUGACGAAGCGUGAGUGACGGUAAUGGGUAAAGAAGCACCGGCUAACUACGUGCCAGCAGCCGCGGUGAUACGUAGGGUGCGAGCGUUGUCCGGAUUUAUUGGGCGUAAAGGGCUCGUAGGUGGUUGAUCGCGUCGGAAGUGUAAUCUUGGGGCUUAACCCUGAGCGUGCUUUCGAUACGGGUUGACUUGAGGAAGGUAGGGGAGAAUGGAAUUCCUGGUGGAGCGGUGGAAUGCGCAGAUAUCAGGAGGAACACCAGUGGCGAAGGCGGUUCUCUGGGCCUUUCCUGACGCUGAGGAGCGAAAGCGUGGGGAGCGAACAGGCUUAGAUACCCUGGUAGUCCACGCUGUAAACGGUGGGUACUAGGUGUGGGGUCCAUUCCACGGGUUCCGUGCCGUAGCUAACGCUUUAAGUACCCCGCCUGGGGAGUACGGCCGCAAGGCUAAAACUCAAAGGAAUUGACGGGGCCCCGCACAAGCGGCGGAGCAUGCGGAUUAAUUCGAUGCAACGCGUAGAACCUUACCUGGGUUUGACAUGGAUCGGGAGUGCUCAGAGAUGGGUGUGCCUCUUUUGGGGUCGGUUCACAGGUGGUGCAUGGCUGUCGUCAGCUCGUGUCGUGAGAUGUUGGGUUAAGUCCCGCAACGAGCGCAACCCUUGUUCACUGUUGCCAGCACGUUAUGGUGGGGACUCAGUGGAGACCGCCGGGGUCAACUCGGAGGAAGGUGGGGAUGACGUCAAGUCAUCAUGCCCCUUAUGUCCAGGGCUUCACGCAUGCUACAAUGGCUGGUACAGAGAGUGGCGAGCCUGUGAGGGUGAGCGAAUCUCGGAAAGCCGGUCUCAGUUCGGAUUGGGGUCUGCAACUCGACCUCAUGAAGUCGGAGUCGCUAGUAAUCGCAGAUCAGCAACGCUGCGGUGAAUACGUUCCCGGG
rnacentral:rRNA from 1 species